CCUACGGGGGGCAGCAGUGGGGGAUAUUGCACAAUGGGGGAAACCCUGAUGCAGCGACGCCGCGUGAGCGAUGAAGUAUUUCGGUAUGUAAAGCUCUAUCAGCAGGGAAGAAAAUGACGGUACCUGACUAAGAAGCCCCGGCUAACUACGUGCCAGCAGCCGCGGUAAUACGUAGGGGGCAAGCGUUAUCCGGAUUUACUGGGUGUAAAGGGAGCGUAGACGGCGGCGCAAGCCAGAUGUGAAAGCCCGGGGCUCAAACCCGGGACUGCAUUUGGAAAUGUGCCGCUAGAGUGUCGGAGAGUCAG
rnacentral:rRNA from 1 species